AUUGAACGCUGGCGGCAGGCCUAACACAUGCAAGUCGAACGAGUGGCGGACGGGUGAGUAAUGUCUGGGAAACUGCCUGAUGUAGGGGGAUAACUACUGGAAACGGUAGCUAAUACCGCAUACCAUCGGAUGUGCCCAGAUGGGAUUAGCUAGUGGGUGGGGUAACGGCUCACCUAGGCGACGAUCCCUAGCUGGGCUGAGAGGAUGACCAGCCACACGGGAACUGAGACACGGUCCAGACUCCUACGGGAGGCAGCAGUGGGGAAUAUUGCACAAUGGGCGCAAGCCUGAUGCAGCCAUGCCGCGUGUAUGAAGAAGGCCUUCGGGUUGUAAAGUACUGUCAGCGGGGAGGCGUUACUCGCAGAAGAAGCACCGGCUAACUCCGUGCCAGCAGCCGCGGUAAUAC
rnacentral:rRNA from 1 species